GCUCAUCUCACCCGCAACAAGCUGCCUUCAGAACUCUCUCACCAGAUUGAAUAGCCUUUCACAUAUUGCAGGCUGCUUCCCAAGCUAAACUAGUCAAGAUGAUGAUCAAAGUAGCUCUUGUGCUCUGUGCUAUUGUGGCAACCAGUAUGGUGUGCGCCAAGAAUUUUGAAGAGCAAGAUGCAGUGGACACCUUGCUGAAUCUGAUGCUCUCGGAGGAGGCUGCAUCUCCUGAUGAUG